UUUAGGCAGGCAAUCGCACCAAGCUAAGCCGCAAGCAACCAUUACCAUUCAAGUCAUGCUGACACGGCAUGAGUGUUUCUCCACAGGACACCACAGCAAGGUUUGGCUCCAUCAUCAUGACGUUGUGGCGGGGUCUGUUUUCUGUCCAGGGAGCUGGCGCCUUGGCAUCUUCACGCAACUGGAACAGACUGCUUGUAACAAAGGCUUCAUGUCAGAGCGAGGCGCUCACCCAUGGCCGCAGACAGAGCCGCCAAUCAUCUGGGAUAAUCAGAAAUGGGCUGACCCUGAGUUGACCCGGCCUUGCAGAGGGCUGACAGGAUGAGAGGCGCUGGAGUGAAACUUACAGGGUAAACAGCCCUCGAUCAGAGCAGACCUCCUCCAGAAGAUUUGGCCCUGCAGAUGAUUCUCUCCUCGAGAGCUGGCUUGGCUCUGAGCAGCGGCUUCCCCUCUCUGCCCACAAAAAAACUUGAAAAAGCCUGCGACACAUGCACAUUUUUUCCCCCUCAAACAUUGAGAUUUUCAACUUGCAUGAUAUGAUUUUCAGAUAUGGAAAUAAUGCAGUUUUGUGCCACAUCAUUCCCUCUGCCUGGC